GUGGGGAAUAUUGGACAAUGGGCGCAAGCCUGAUCCAGCAAUGCCGCGUGGGUGAAGAAGGUCUUCGGAUCGUAAAGCCCUUUCGACAGGGACGAUGAUGACGGUACCUGUAGAAGAAGCCCCGGCUAACUUCGUGCCAGCAGCCGCGGUAAUACGAAGGGGGCUAGCGUUACUCGGAAUUACUGGGCGUAAAGGGCGCGUAGGCGACUCUGUUAGUCAGGCGUGAAAUUCCUGGGCUUAACCUGGGGACUGCGCUUGAUACUGCAGGGCUUGAGGCCGAGAGAGGGUGGUGGAAUUCCCAGUGUAGAGGUGAAAUUCGUAGAUAUUGGGAAGAACACCGGUGUCGAAGGCGACCACCUGGCUCGGUUCUGACGCUGAGGCGCGACAGCGUGGGGAGCAAACAGGAUUAGAAACCCUGGUAGUCC
rnacentral:rRNA from 1 species